GAUGAACGCUGGCGGCGUGCCUAAUACAUGCAAGUCGAGCGAACGGACGAGAAGCUUGCUUCUCUGAUGUUAGCGGCGGACGGGCGAGUAACACGUGGAUAACCUACCUAUAAUACUGGGAUAACUUCGGGAAACCGUAGCUAAUACUGGAGAAUAUUUUGAACCGCAUGGUUCAAAAGUGAAAGACGGUCUUGCUGUCACUUAUAGAUGGAUCCGCGCUGCAUUAGCUAGUUGGUAAGGUAACGGCCUACCAAGGCAACGAUGCAUAGCCGACCUGAGAGGGUGAUCGGCCACACUGGAACUGAGACACGGUCCAGACUCCUACGGGAGGCAGCAGUAGGGAAUAUUCCGCAAUGGGCGCAAGCCUGACGGAGCAACGCCGCGUGAGUGAUGAAGGUCUUCGGAUCGUAAAACUCUGUUAUUAGGGAAGAACAUAUGUGUAAGUAACUGUGCACAUCUUGACGGUACCUAAUCAGAAAGCCACGGCUAACUACGUG
rnacentral:rRNA from 1 species